rnacentral:rRNA from 1 species
UACGGAGGGUGCGAGCGUUAAUCGGAAUUACUGGGCGUAAAGCGUGCGCAGGCGGUUUUGUAAGCCGGAUGUGAAAUCCCCGGGCUUAACCUGGGAAUGGCAUUCGGGACUGCAAGGCUUGAGUGCGGCAGAGGAGACUGGAAUUCCUGGUGUAGCAGUGAAAUGCGUAGAUAUCAAGUGGAACACCAGUGGCGAAGGCGAGUCUCUGGACAUUUCCUGACGCUGAGGCACGAAAGCCAGGGGAGCAAACGGG